CCUACGGGUGGCAGCAGUGGGGAAUAUUGCGCAAUGGGCGAAAGCCUGACGCAGCGACGCCGCGUGAGGGAUGAAGGUCUUCGGAUCGUAAACCUCUGUCAGCAGGGAAGAACGGUCACUGUGCUAAUCAGCAGUGAAUUGACGGUACCUGCAAAGGAAGCACCGGCUAACUCCGUGCCAGCAGCCGCGGUAAUACGGAGGGUGCGAGCGUUAAUCGGAAUUACUGGGUUUAAAGGGUGCGCAGGCGGCCUGUAAAGUCAGCGGUAAAAGCCCGGGGCUCAACCCCGGAGAGACGUUGAAACUGGCGGGCUGGAGUUGGAGAGAGGUACGCGGAAUGCGAGGUGUAGCGGUGAAAUGCUUAGAUAUCGCGAAGAACACCGAUUGCGAAGGCAGCGUACCGGCUCCACACUGACGCUGAGGCACGAAAGCGUGGGUAUCGAACAGGAUUAGAUACCCGGGUAGUC
rnacentral:rRNA from 1 species